rnacentral:rRNA from 1 species
GAUGAACGCUGGCGGCGUGCCUAAUACAUGCAAGUCGAGCGAACGGACGAGAAGCUUGCUUCUCUGAUGUUAGCGGCGGACGGGUGAGUAACACGUGGAUAACCUACCUAUAAGACUGGGAUAACUUCUGGAAACCGGAGCUAAUACCGGAUAAUAUUUUGAACCGCAUGGUUCAAAAUUGAAAGACGGUCUUGCUGUCACUUAUAGAUGGAUCCGCGCUGCAUUAGCUAGUUGGUAAGGUAACGGCUUACCAAGGCAACGAUGCAUAGCCGACCUGAGAGGGUGAUCGGCGACACUGGAAGUGAGACACGGUCCAGACUCCUACGGGAGGGAGCAGUAGGGAAUCUUACGAAAAGGGCGAAAGCCUGACGGAGCAACGCCGCGUGAGUGAUGAAGGUCUUCGGAUCGUAAAACUCUGUUAUUAGGGAAGAACAUAUGUGUAAGUAACUGUGCACAUCUUGACGGUACCUAAUCAGAAAGCCACGGCUAACUACGUG